rnacentral:lncRNA from 1 species
ACUGGAGUGAUUACAUUAUCCGUCGGCUUUUCCACGAACAACCUCACUGCCUUCUCAAACGCACUUACACGGGUAGUGCAAGGUGCCCUGUUGAGGCCAGCAGCACCAAUCCGCAACCUGAUAAUGGAUCACAUGGUUGUGUCAAUCAUUCUAAUCCACCAAUCAAAAAAAUUGCAUCUGAAACUACAGUAACCGAUAUAUAAAUCCAAAGGUUUUAGACUCACAGUACCAGCUUUGUAGUUUACAUGUCCACUAGCAAGGUUAUUACUUUUACUCUUCCAGACAGCACCAACAUUGAACAUCGGAUUCACAUCAUAAGUAAUUAACAUGAAUGUACUACAGACUUCAAAAGGAAAAUAUAUGAGACUUUCACAGUACAGCACUACAUUGUUAUGAUCCUGUUAUCAACUAGUAGUACUGUACUGUGAUCCUCAAACUUCACAAUACAUCUCUAUCAAACAGUUUCAUUUACCUGAACAUUUUCUAAUCUCCAGACAUAUUACAGAGCACUCUAAUUUCCAUAGCAAACUUAUAAGACUAGCUCGUUUGGGUAGCACAACUUCAGGUCUAUGGUUGGCUAAACAAAGAAGGCUACUAGCACAGAUUGACAGGAAUCAAAAACACUAUCGGUGAACACAAACUUGCAUGGCAGAGAUACAAAUAAAUGAGACACAAGGAACGUAAUAAUGGUUCACACAAUCACUAAUUCUCAGACAUAAAAUGUAAGGUUCAGAUAAGCACCAACCAGGUGGAUGAUUUAGGACGACCAACGAACAAAUGAUCCAGCUCUACGAACAUAGUAUGGCACAGAGUACGACACUGACAUAUUACUACACAUGACCAGUAUUAGUAGUUCACGACACAUGAUAAAUGUUCAUCAGCAAAAGCAGACACAGAUGCCCGCCAGAGCCAUUCCCACAGG